AUUGAACGCUGGCGGCAUGCUUUACACAUGCAAGUCGAACGGUAACAGGCCGCAAGGUGCUGACGAGUGGCGAACGGGUGAGUAAUGCAUCGGAACGUGCCCAGUCGUGGGGGAUAACGCAGCGAAAGCUGUGCUAAUACCGCAUACGAUCUAUGGAUGAAAGCGGGGGACCGUAAGGCCUCGCGCGUUUGGAGCGGCCGACGGAAGAUUAGCUAGUUGGUGGGGUAAAGGCCCACCAAGGCGACGAUCUGUAGCUGGUCUGAGAGGACGACCAGCCACACUGGGACUGAGACACGGCCCAGACUCCUACGGGAGGCAGCAGUGGGGAAUUUUGGACAAUGGGCGCAAGCCUGAUCCAGCAAUGCCGCGUGCAGGAAGAAGGCCUUCGGGUUGUAAACCGCUUUUGUACGGAACGAAACGGUCUUGGUUAAUACCCUGGGCUAAUGACGGUACCGUAAGAAUAAGCACCGGCUAACUACGUGCCAGCCGCCGCCGUAA
rnacentral:rRNA from 1 species